rnacentral:rRNA from 1 species
AGCCAUGCCGCGUGGGUGAGAAGGCCUUCGGGUUGUAAAGCCCUUUUGUUGGGAAAGAAAUCCAGCCGGCUAAUACCUGGUUGGGAUGACGGUACCCAAAGAAUAAGCACCGGCUAACUUCGUGCCAGCAGCCGCGGUAAUACGAAGGGUGCAAGCGUUACUCGGAAUUACUGGGCGUAAAGCGUGCGUAGGUGGUCGUUUAAGUCCGUUGUGAAAGCCCUGGGCUCAACCUGGGAACUGCAGUGGAUACUGGGCGACUAGAGUGUGGUAGAGGGUAGCGGAAUUCCUGGUGUAGCAGUGAAAUGCGUAAAGAUCAGGAGGAACAUCCAUGGCGAAGGCAGCUACCUGGACCAACACUGACACUGAGGCACGAAAGCGUGGGGAGCAAACAGGAUUAAAUACCCUGGUAGUCCACGCCCUAAACGAUGCGAACUGGAUGUUGGGUGCAAUUUGGCACGCAG